UACGAAGGGAGCUAGCGUUGUUCGGAAUCACUGGGCGUAAAGCGUGCGCAGGCGGCUUUUUAAGCCAGAGGUGAAAUGCCAGGGCUCAACCCUGGAACUGCCUUUGGAACUGAAAAGCUGGAGUCUCGGAGAGGUUCGGGGAAUUCCUAAUGUAGCGGUGAAAUGCGUAGAUAUUAGGAGGAACACCAGUGGCGAAGGCGCCGAACUGGACGAGUACUGACGCUCAUGCACGAAAGCGUGGGGAUCAAACAGG
rnacentral:rRNA from 1 species